AGACAAGGUCUCACCCUGUCAGGCCAGAGUGCAGUGGUAUGAACAUAAAUCACUGCAGCCUCAAGCUCCUGGGCUCAAGUGAUCCUCCAGCCUCAGCCUCCCAAGUAGCUAGGACUACAGAGUGCUCCUCUAACAUCUCCCGACCAAGACACUGCUGAGGUCCCAACUCCUGGUGUCCAAGAUGGCUGUGGAUGCAAAGAAGCCUGCUGACUAGCGGCUCCUCCUGGAGGGUUUUGUGAUAGUAAAGGUGAAGUUUGAGGAAGACCACCUCAGGGAUUAGGAUUUUUACCUUCCAGAGAACCAAUCUCUUGCCUGGGAGACCUUCAGCCAGCAGUUUAGACACUGCUGCUGCUAGGAUUCCUUAGGACCCUGUCUGAACCUGAAAAUUAUGACAUCUAGCAGUCUCUGGGGUGCAAUGUUCAGUGAGAACUUUAAGCAAGGCUGAUUUUUUCUUUUCUUUUUUUUUGUCAACAUGAGAGUCACUAUGAAAAGGCUUAUCCAUUAUGAGACUCAAUGUUAUUAAUCUCUUAUUACAUAAGGAACACCUAGGUGCCACAUUGGAGAGUGAGUCUGCAUGGGUAAUAAAUUCUGAAAAAAACAAGGAUUUACAGAACUUUAUUUGUGAUUUGACCCUAUUCAAUACAAUAAAGUGUUCAUGCAAUAAAAUAGCUAUGCUGAAACUGC